CGUGGGUAACCUGCCCAAGAGACUGGGAUAACACCUGGAAACAGAUGCUAAUACCGGAUAACAACACUAGACGCAUGUCUAGAGUUUAAAAGAUGGUUCUGCUAUCACUCUUGGAUGGACCUGCGGUGCAUUAGCUAGUUGGUAAGGUAACGGCUUACCAAGGCAAUGAUGCAUAGCCGAGUUGAGAGACUGAUUGGCCACAUUGGGACUGAGACACGGCCCAAACUCCUACGGGAGGCAGCAGGG
rnacentral:rRNA from 1 species